rnacentral:rRNA from 1 species
GAUGAACGCUGGCGGCGUGCCUAAUACAUGCAAGUAGAACGCUGAAGGAAGGAGCUUGCUCUUUCCGGAUGAGUUGCGAACGGGUGAGUAACGCGUAGGUAACCUGCCUGGUAGCGGGGGAUAACUAUUGGAAACGAUAGCUAAUACCGCAUAACAGUAGAUGUUGCAUGACAACUAUUUGAAAGGGGCAAUUGCUCCACUACCAGAUGGACCUGCGUUGUAUUAGCUAGUUGGUGAGGUAACGGCUCACCAAGGCGACGAUACAUAGCCGACCUGAGAGGGUGAUCGGCCACACUGGGACUGAGACACGGCCCAGACUCCUACGGGAGGCAGCAGUAGGGAAUCUUCGGCAAUGGACGGAAGUCUGACCGAGCAACGCCGCGUGAGUGAAGAAGGUUUUCGGAUCGUAGAGCUCUGUUGUAAGAGAAGAACGAGUGUGAGAGUGGAAAGUUCACACUGUGACGGUAUCUUACCAGAAAGGGACGGCUAACUACGUG